rnacentral:rRNA from 1 species
AGCUCGAUGAGUAGGGCGGGACACGUGGUAUCCUGUCUGAAUAUGGGGGGACCAUCCUCCAAGGCUAAAUACUCCUGACUGACCGAUAGUGAACCAGUACCGUGAGGGAAAGGCGAAAAGAACCCCGGCGAGGGGAGUGAAAAAGAACCUGAAACCGUGUACGUACAAGCAGUGGGAGCCCCACCACUAAGCCAGUGGUGAACUCCACAUACGCAUCCUUUGCUGAGGAUACGGUUAACGGAGCGAAAGCGACGUUCAACCGCAAAAGAAGCAGAGGGGGCUUAGUGGUGGGGUGACUGCGUACCUUUUGUAUAAUGGGUCAGCGACUUAUAUUCUGUAGCAAGGUUAACCGAAUAGGGGAGCCGGAGGGAAACCGAGUCUUAAC